UGCUAUCUGCGAUACUGCAAAGAUUCGAACCUGCAGCAGGUUCGAGUUGAGCGCAGCGAAACAACGGAGCCGCUCGCGGCGACGGCCCGAAGGGCGAGCGAAGCGAGUCAUCCUGCACGACCCACCA
rnacentral:sRNA from 1 species